AGUGAACGCUGGCGGUAGGCCUAACACAUGCAAGUCGAACGGCAGCACAGUAAGAGCUUGCUCUUACGGGUGGCGAGUGGCGGACGGGUGAGGAAUACAUCGGAAUCUACUUUUUCGUGGGGGAUAACGUAGGGAAACUUACGCUAAUACCGCAUACUACCUACGGGUGAAAGCAGGGGAUCUUCGGACCUUGCGCGAUUCAAUGAGCCGAUGUCGGAUUAGCUAGUUGGCGGGGUAAAGGCCCACCAAGGCGACGAUCCGUAGCUGGUCUGAGAGGAUGAUCAGCAACACUGGAACUGAGACACGGUCCAGACUCCUACGGGAGGCAGCAGUGGGGAAUAUUGGACAAUGGGCGCAAGCCUGAUCCAGCCAUACCGCGUGGGUGAAGAAGGCCUUCGGGUUGUAAAGCCCUUUUGUUGGGAAAGAAAAGCAGCAGGUUAAUACCCCGCUGUUCUGACAGUACCCAAAGAAUAAGCACCGGCUAACUUCGUG
rnacentral:rRNA from 1 species